rnacentral:lncRNA from 1 species
AAAUUUCUUAUUUACGGAUCAAUCCUUGUAUUAUGUUGCUCAAAUAAUAGUUUUUUAAUUUGAUAAACAUUGGAUGUGGAGCUAAGGAUCCUUAACGGACCCCCAUUGCAGAUGGUCUAAGUUAGUUUCAGAUUUCGUAACAACUGAGACCACCUCCAUCGGCAGUUAUAAAAGGAGGUUCUAAGCAAAAGACAAAAAAAAAUGAAAAAGAAAAUAAAAACACAGAAUCGAUGUUUAAUUUGAGAUUUUUAGAGUGUGUAAGAACCCCUUACGUGUUCCUUUGGUAAUGGAUAAUCCAUUUUCUCUCUCGUUCGAUCUCCUUCUUCGUUUGAUUCGUUUGAUUCCUCCUCCAACCUCAAUAACUCCAUCUUCUUUUUCACUUCUGAUCUCGAUUUCCUUUUUUGUUUGAUUCGUUUGAUUCCUUCUCUGCAGUUACGAUCGUUUCUCCUCUCGAACCAUCUUCUUCAACGCGUUUGACUCUUCUUCUCUG